AGAAUCAACGCUGGCGGCGUGCCUAACACAUGCAAGUCGAACGAGAAAGUGGGGCAAUCCAUUAGUAAAGUGGCGCACGGGUGAGUAACACGUGACUAACCUACCCUUGAGUGGGGGAUAACCUAGAGAAAUCUGGGCUAAUACCGCAUAAUACCUUCGGGUCAAAGGAGCAAUUCGCUUAAGGAGGGGGUCGCGGCCGAUUAGUUAGUUGGCGGGGUAAUGGCCCACCAAGACUAUGAUCGGUAU
rnacentral:rRNA from 1 species